CUGACCCCCUACGGUGAAGAGACCAGAGAGGUGUAGAAUAAUUGGGAGGCCCCGGGGCCCUCCUGCCCCCACGAGAGGCCAGGGCAGGGCCCACCAGCCUGUACUCUUAUCCUUUUUUUACUGUCCCACUGAGGAGGGGCCCGAGCCCAAGGGGCUCUCGCUCCUGGCACCAAGCACCUGGCCACAGUGCCAGGUGGGGAGUUUGACUGAAACAGAACACCUGCCAAACGCUAAUGCAGGUGUCCUAAGGCUAACUCAGGGAGGACAGAAACCUCCCGUGGAGCAGAAAGGCAAAAGCUUGCUCCAUCUUGGUUUUCAGUACGAAUACAGACUGUGAAAGCAGGACCUCCCGGAAAAAAAAAAAAAAAAAAAGUACAAAAAGAAAGAAAG
rnacentral:ncRNA from 1 species